AGUAGAGACCAUACGUCACCAGAUAUUCACGUCCAAACAAAACUGAACCAAACCUGUCAGGAUGGGCUGAGCUGGCCGAAAGCUCAUAACCUCCUCACCAUGUCCCUCUGCGCAACCGACUGCCAUGCGCAUAUAUAAGACGUUCCGUCGGUUCAGUGAGCAUGUUUCACUGCUUGAAGACGUGAACGCUAUCCACCAACGAUGAUCCGUGCGUGCGUUCUCCUCAUCCUGGCCACUGGUGCCUGCGCCGGCUACGUGGGCUAUCCCUAUGGCUACUCCUUCGGUGCUCCAACCAUACCGGCCUACACGGCUCCGGUGAGCACCAUCGGACAAGUUGGAACCAUCCCGACGUACGGCUACAAUUACGGAUAUGGUGUCCCUGCUUAUGGGUAUGGUUAUAGCCCCUAUGGUCUCACCUAUGGAUACGUCCUCGGGGGUUUCGGCUAUCCUACAAUCUACGGUAAAAAAUAGAUCUCACGACUUUCCACCUGGCCCGCACCACUUCAGAGAUUUCAUGGCACGAAAGAAGGAAACAAAGCCGAUGUCACCGUCAUGACAAAUUCACAACACAAUGCACAAUAAAGACUCCAAC